rnacentral:rRNA from 1 species
AUUGAACGCUGGCGGCAUGCCUUACACAUGCAAGUCGAACGGCAGCGGGGACUUCGGUCCGCCGGCGAGUGGCGAACGGGUGAGUAAUGUAUCGGAACGUACCAUUGAGUGGGGGAUAACUAUCCGAAAGGAUAGCUAAUACCGCAUAUUCUCUCCGGAGGGAAGCAGGGGACCGCAAGGCCUUGCGCUCAUUGAGCGGCCGAUAUCAGAUUAGCUAGUUGGUGAGGUAAAGGCUCACCAAGGCGACGAUCUGUAGCGGGUCUGAGAGGAUGAUCCGCCACACUGGAACUGAGACACGGUCCAGACUCCUACGGGAGGCAGCAGUGGGGAAUUUUGGACAAUGGGGGCAACCCUGAUCCAGCCAUGCCGCGUGAGUGAAGAAGGCCUUCGGGUUGUAAAGCUCUUUCGGCCGGGAAAAAAUCGCAUGGGUUAAUACCCUGUGUGGAUGAUGGUACCGGAAUAAGAAGCACCGGCUAACUACGUGCCAGCCGCCGCCGUAA